GCCAUCGUGGUACAGUGGUCAGCACACUCAGCGCGUAUUCGAGAGGUCCGUGGUUCGAGUCCCGGCGAGGUCA
rnacentral:tRNA from 1 species